ensembl:snoRNA
GUGCCCUUUUAAGGUUGUCAAGGUACUUUAAGAGGCUAACACAGAAGGGUAAAGGAACUCUCCAAAAAACCCCUGGAGGAGACUGUACACCUCCUUCUUGGAUCCUGUCUGGAGUCACAGAA